GAUGAGGAUACAUAUCUGCGGUGUUUUAAGAUCGUUAUGGGCUCGUCCAUUCAGUGGUUAAGACAGGGUCGUGUGGGAGAUGCGCUGGUCAGGGAAUAGUCUCCGUUUGUUUGACUGGAGAUAUCUUCCACGAUCCCCAUCGGACGGAACCUCCAAACCCCAAUGUGACCUCAACCACACUGAGAUGAGGUGUUGAUCAGAAUGAAGACCUAAUCCUUCCAGUGCCAUGCUGAGCUCUUGGGCGGUGCAGACCAGAUGCUUCUUGGCCAGGAUGGACCUACAGUGGUCUACUCAGCGGAACUGGAGAUCACAUUCCUGAGCUUCCUGAUCAAGGUGUAGAAUCCUGUUCCAAGCUGGAAAUCGCGACGAGUCCAGUGAUGUCCCGGUGGGAGACUCUUCUGCUGUUCUGAGUGGAUCCUGUGAAGGCCAGAUGGGUGUGGUGACGAGGAACCAAUGCAGAGCUGCAGAUCCGGUGGAGUCCAGAGACGUCCCGCUGUGAGACGGUUCUACUGAACUGAGUUUCCUGAACUCGGCGUCGGUUGGAGUCCGCCUACAUGAAGAGAUUUGGAUCACCCACACUGCGAAACCUUUUGUCUGUAACAAAUGACCGUGUUCCACCAAUAAACCCAAAACAUCCACCACUGUGUACUUUACACCUCUGUUCUCGAGAAUAAAACCCAAAGGAGUGGGGGGGGUCACACGCCGC
ensembl:lncRNA